rnacentral:rRNA from 1 species
UACGAAGGGUGCAAGCGUUAAUCGGAAUUACUGGGCGUAAAGCGCACGUAGGCGGUUUGGUGAGUUAGAGGUGAAAUCCCAGAGCUCAACUCUGGAACUGCCUUUAAUACUGCCAGUCUAGAGUCCGGAAGAGGUAAGUGGAACUCCUAGUGUAGAGGUGGAAUUCGUAGAUAUUAGGAAGAACACCAGUGGCGAAGGCGGCUUACUGGGCCGGUACUGACGCUGAGGUGCGAAAGCGUGGGGAGCAAACAGG